CAGGACAUAUCCUAAAAUUGGAACUUUUAAACUGGAUACAGAGAAGAUUAGAAUGGCCCCUGUGCAGGGAUGGCAUGCAAAUAUGUGAAGCAUUCCAUAUUUUA